rnacentral:sRNA from 1 species
GUGAACGAGAACAUGAGCAAAAGAGCAGUACAC